GAUGAACGCUGGCGGCGUGCCUAAUACAUGCAAGUCGAGCGAAUGGAUUAAGAGCUUGCUCUUAUGAAGUUAGCGGCGGACGGGCGAGUAACACGUGGGUAACCUGCCCAUAAGACUGGGAUAACUCCGGGAAACCGGGGCUAAUACCGGAUAACAUUUUGAACCGCAUGGUUCGAAAUUGAAAGGCGGCUUCGGCUGUCACUUAUGGAUGGACCCGCGUCGCAUUAGCUAGUUGGUGAGGUAACGGCUCACCAAGGCAACGAUGCGUAGCCGACCGGGGAGGGUGAGCGGCCACACUGGGACUGAGACACGGCCCAGACUCCUACGGGAGGCAGCAGUAGGGAAUCUUCCGCAAGGGACGAAAGUCUGACGGAGCAACGCCGCGUGAGUGAUGAAGGCUUUCGGGUCGUAAAACUCUGUUGUUAGGGAAGAACAAGUGCUAGUUGAAUAAGCUGACACCUUGACGGUACCUAACCAGAAAGCCACGGCUAACUACGUGCCAGCCGCCGCGGUAA
rnacentral:rRNA from 1 species